rnacentral:snRNA from 1 species
GGAGGUGAAGGCGAUCUGGCUGCCUGACCUGUCACCCCAUUGAUCGCCAGGGUUGAUUCGGCUGAUCUGGCUGGCUAGGC